CUCGGCUUGACAUGCACGUGGUACCAACCCGAAAGGGACGGGACCCGCGAGGGAGCGUGCACAGGUGCUGCAUGGCUGUCGUCAGCUCGUGUUGUGAAAUGUUGGGUUAAGUCCCGCAACGAGCGCAACCCUUAUCCUUUGUUGCCAGCGGUUAGGCCGGGAACUCAAAGGAGACUGCCAGUGAUAAACUGGAGGAAGGUGGGGAUGACGUCAAGUCAUCAUGGCCCUUACGUCCCGGGCUACACACGUGCUACAAUGGGAGGGACAACGAGUUGCGAACCCGCGAGGGCAAGCUAAUCUCACAAACCCUCUCUCAGUUCGGAUUGAAGGCUGCAACUCGCCUUCAUGAAGUCGGAAUCGCUAGUAACCGUAGAUCAGCUACGCUGCGGUGAAUACGUUCCC
rnacentral:rRNA from 1 species